CCUACGGGUGGCAGCAGUGAGGAAUAUUGGUCAAUGGACGAGAGUCUGAACCAGCCAAGUAGCGUGAAGGAUGACUGCCCUAUGGGUUGUAAACUUCCUUUAUAUGGGAAUAAAAUGUUCCACGUGUGGGAUUUUGUAUGUAUCAUAUGAAUAAGGAUCGGCUAACUAUGUGCCAGCAGCCGCGGUAAUACGGAUGUACCGAGCGUUAACCGGAUUUAUUGGGGUUAAAGGGAGCGUAGGUGGAUCGUUAAGCCAGUCGUGAAAGUUUGCGGCUCAACCGUAAAAUUGCAGUUGAAACUGGCAGUCUUGAGUACAGUAGAGGUGGGCGGAAUUCGUGGUGUAGCGGUGAAAUGCUUAGAUAUCACGAAGAACUCCGAUGGCGAAGGCAGCUCACUGGACUGCAACUGACACUGAGGCUCGAAAGUGUGGGUAUCAAACAGGAUUAGAUACCCGGGUAGUC
rnacentral:rRNA from 1 species